AUAAAAUACUGGCAACAAGGAAAUGAACGCAAGCAAGAACAAUCCUGCCUGUGCCGGCUGAGGUGUCCAGAACAGCCCUGUUUUCUGUACUGCCAAUUGUGAUUUUAUGUGACUGUUUACGAAUUGAAAUUUUAUUGAAGAAGACACCUGGAAAGCUGUGUCAUCUGAACUAAGGUCAUUGAAUCCUUGUGAACAGAUGUUAUUUGCAAUGGUGCUGUGGUUUUCAUCUUGAAAAGGCUUCAAAUUUUCUUCAAAGCACAGCCUAGAUUCAUCAU